GACGAACGCUGGCGGCGUGCCUAAUACAUGCAAGUCGAACGCACUCUCGUUUAGAUUGAAGGAGUUUGCUCCUGAUUGAUCAACAUUUGAGUGAGUGGCGGACGGGUGAGUAACACGUGGGUAACCUGCCCUAAAGUGGGGGAUAACAUUUGGAAACAGAUGCUAAUACCGCAUAAAACCUAACACCGCAUGGUGUAGGGUUGAAAGAUGGUUUCGGCUAUCACUUUAGGAUGGACCCGCGGUGCAUUAGUUAGUUGGUGAGGUAAAGGCUCACCAAGACCGUGAUGCAUAGCCGACCUGAGAGGGUAAUCGGCCACACUGGGACUGAGACACGGCCCAGACUCCUACGGGAGGCAGCAGUAGGGAAUCUUCCACAAUGGACGAAAGUCUGAUGGAGCAACGCCGCGUGAGUGAAGAAGGUUUUCGGAUCGUAAAACUCUGUUGUUGGAGAAGAAUGUAUCUGAUAGUAACUGAUCAGGUAGUGACGGUAUCCAACCAGAAAGCCACGGCUAACUACGUG
rnacentral:rRNA from 1 species